rnacentral:rRNA from 1 species
UACGAAGGGGGCUAGCGUUGCUCGGAAUGACUGGGCGUAAAGGGCGCGUAGGCGGAUUGCUUUGUCGGGCGUGAAAUUCCAGGGCUUAACCUUGGGGCUGCGUUCGAGACGGGUGAUCUUGAGUUCGGAAGAGGGUCGUGGAAUUCCCAGUGUAGAGGUGAAAUUCGUAGAUAUUGGGAAGAACACCGGUGGCGAAGGCGGCUCACUGGCUCAUUACUGACGCUCAGGCGCGAUAGCGUGGGGAUCAAACAGG